rnacentral:rRNA from 1 species
GAUGAACGCUGGCGGCGUGCCUAAUACAUGCAAGUCGAGCGAAUCUCUUCGGAGAUUAGCGGCGGACGGGUGAGUAACACGUAGGCAACCUGCCUGUAAGACUGGGAUAACUUCGGGAAACCGGAGCUAAUACCGGAUAGGUUUUCGUAUUGCAUGAUACGAAAUGGAAAGGCGGCUUUUAGCUGUCACUUACAGAUGGGCAUGCGGCGCAUUAGCUAGUUGGUGAGGUAACGGCUCACCAAGGCGACGAUGCGUAGCCGACGUGAGAGGGUGAUCGGCCACACUGGGCCUGAGACACGGCCCAGACUCCUACGGGAGGCAGCAGUAGGGAAUCUUCCGAAAUGGACGAAAGUCUGACGGAGCAACGCCGCGUGAGCGAUGAAGGCCUUCGGGUCGUAAAGCUCUGUUGUUAGGGAAGAACGAGUACGAGAGUAACUGCUCGUACCUUGACGGUACCUAACCAGAAAGCCACGGCUAACUACGUGCCAGCAGCCGCCGUAAGAC